CGCGGUGGUCCCACCUGACCCCAUGCCGAACUCAGUAGUGAAACGCCGUAGCGCCGAUGGUAGUGUGGGGUCUCCCCAUGUGAGAGUAGGGAACUGCCAGAC
rnacentral:rRNA from 1 species